CACUUGCUGAAUAAGAUGUGAAAUGAUUUUUCCUGCAGGAUACCACUGAGCACCUUCACUGACAUCAGAAGUAUAAAGAGAAAAGCCAGACUGAAGCAUAAACUCCAUAUGAGGACAAAUGAAACAGUCAAAAACGUUUUCCAGGACACCACCCUGUGAGUACUUGAGUUUGUGCUUCC
rnacentral:lncRNA from 1 species